GAUUCGAGAAAUAAUAAGAGUGGGAGCCAAAGUGUUUUGACAAAGAUACAUGUAUUUUCGGAAAGAAACUCUCAUUUGUUGGCGAGCGGAACAAGGUAACGUGCUGAUGGUCAAUACAAAUGGAUCAUGCCUUUAACCUGAUGGCAAAGCCGCGACAGGUAAGAUUAUUAGGAAUGCCCGGGUGAUUGCUUGGUGGCGUUUACAGCUAACAUUACUCGGGCUGAGAUGCGAGGAGCGGUCACUUUACAGCUAGAUUUCCAGUGCGCGAUUAAGAGCGGUCCAUCCCAUAACUUUUGACAUAUGAUGUGUAUUUUGAAGUUCAACAACUUCUUAACAGAGACUGGACGGUGCGUAUAUCCCAUAUCUUCCGUGAAGGCAAUCGCAUUGUAAAUGCCCUUGUCCAGCAUGUGCAUUCUCUUUCAUUUGAUUAUCAUUUUCUUUCUAGUCUCCCAAUGUUAUAAGUUGUUCGAUAUAUUCACCAAUUAUUCAGUAUAUUGUGGGUGUUUCUCUUCCCCGAUUUGAUUUUUAAUAACAACUAAGACUUUGAGUCCGCUUCUUAUAAAACGGUAUUGUGGCGGUGAUCGGCAGCUAAUAAUGUUGUGAAUUCUUUGUCAAUUAUGAUUAGUAUUAUAGUUAUUUGGAUGGUUAGAGUUGCAGUGCAGGUCUCGACAGCG
rnacentral:lncRNA from 1 species